ACAACAAAAAAAGGCCUGGAGCAAAAAAUCUCUUUGGAAUUGCAAAUCCAGGUGGGCCCCACCUGGUGUGGAGGUGGAGGAACAACUGCAGGCCGAGUUUUCCUGCAGGUUUGAGCAGGCACUUCCAAGGAUUAACUGCACCAGGCUGGAUUCCUGCAGAGCUGCCAUGGCCUUGGAGUCUCUGAGGGGCCACGGCUCCCUCCCAGAGGAAAAGAACCCCAAAAAGCCUCGUGGAGACCCAGCCUGGAGGGUGGGGGCUGAGGGGAAAGGGUUAAACAGGGUUCCUGUGCUGGGCCUUAUUCCAGAGCUCCCGGUUUGCAUCGCACUGGUGCCCCCAGGCAGAGACCUCCCGGAGCCUCGGGCUUCUCCCUCCCCCUCUGGCUCUUCCUGGAGCUGUUCUGCUUCCUGAGAGACCUAAAACACUCCAGAGCCACCUCUGGCCCAGGCACAGCUUUCCAAAAUUCCUUUUUCAUUCCCUUCCUCUCCUCCUGGUGCAAUCCUUCCUCUCCUCCUGGUGCAAUCCUUCCUCUCCUCCAGGUGCAAUCCCUCCUCUCCAGGUGCAAUCCUUCCUCUCCAGGUGCAAUCCUUCCCCUCCAGGUGCAAUCCUUCCUCUCCAGGUGCAAUCCUUCCUCUCCAGGUGCAAUCCUUCCUCUCCUCCAGGUGCAAUCCUUCCUCUCCAGGUGCAAUCCUUCCUCUCCAGGUGCAAUCCUUCCUCUCCAGGUGCAAUCCUUCCUCUCCAGGUGCAAUCCUUCCUCUCCAGGUGCAAUCCUUCCUCUCCUCCAGGUGCAAUCCUUCCUCUCCAGGUGCAAUCCUUCCUCUCCAGGUGCAAUCCCUCCUCUCCAGG